AUGGGGCAGAAGAGGCCGGAGGAGGUUGUGGCGGAGCGGUUCCCGGCGUUGCCGCGCAAAACAGAGGCCGAUGGAGGCGUGGAUUCGGCGAGGCGCCGGAGUUGCUUCGGCGGGCUGAAGAACUUGAGGUGCUCGGGUGCCAUGGCCUCUCCAACUCCCUGUGAGAAAACUGAGAGAGAUGAGAGAUCGAAGGGAGAGCAAGAGAGAAAGAGAGACGACCGGAGUGGCAGAACAAAGGGAGAGAGAGGGACGAGGCCGGACCUGGUCGACGGGGAAGGCGGGGCGCAGCCCGGAUGGUUGGGUUCGCCGGCGGCGACACGCCAUGGAGGGAGGAGCUUGGGCAUGAGCAGGGGAUCGAGCCCCUGUCUCUCUCCUGCGGGAGCGCGGGCGCUCGUUGGUGGUUUGGGGGGGAUCCAGAGGAGAGUGCUGGUUAGGGAGGUUCGAUGGUGGCUGAAAUCGAGGAGAGGAUGGAUUUGGGCGGAUCCUGAGGGGAACUAG
rnacentral:rRNA from 1 species